ensembl:lncRNA LINC00710 long intergenic non-protein coding RNA 710
AGAGCAGGGCGCUCUGGGCCUAGCUCAGAGGACAUGCUCCUGAGGCUAGCUAUUUUUCUGCUACUACUCUGGCUAAGAGAGACAUGUAAGGGCUGGAUGUAAACUCCCAGAGGGCACCUCCUGGGCUAGAGAAGAUGCAGCAUGAGCUCAGGAAUUCAACACAACACGAAAUAAUCAACAAAUUCGGGGAAUGUUAAUCUGACCAUCACCAGUUACAAAUGAUGUUUCAUGCUACCUUCUAUUCCUGCCUUCAUAAAUCAAGGAAAAGAAAAAGAGAACAUAUAUCCCCCUACCUUUUGAUUUCCAACAGUCUACUGAGAGGCCAAGAUUAUUUGCAGGGAAAGAAAAGGGGUCAAAAUGUUUUGCCAGUAACUCCCAAAUCAUCUACAGCCAAGGAGAAAAGUGUUUCAAGACAGAGGUGCUCAAUGGUAUCAAAUACUGCCAACAGACCAAGUAAUACAUGCAUUGAAGUGUCUACUGGAUCUAGCUAUAUGAAUUUUUAAUUUAGGACACUUAGGCCAUACUGAAGCAAGGUGACAAAAUGAAUAGCUACAAUGUCUCGUGAAUCUUGGGUUUCCAUUCACCCUGGUAUUCAAGAGAAAUUCUUGCAUCAUGGAAGUUGCAGUUGGAUAGGACUUUCUCAGCUGAACACUGUCAUCUGCCAGAGCUUCAGGCAAGAACCCAGAACAGAUGAAACCCCAGACAUGACAAAAUAAGCCAAAGAAUACCAGGCCAAGGUGUGAAAGGCCAGAUGAGAACAAGCAGCGUACACGAUUCUGUUGCCAACAGAUCUCCCCUAACAGUGUCGUGCACCAAAUUUCCACAGUGAAUGUCAGGAAAAAAUGGCAAUUGAGGUGGGUGGUCAAAAGAGAAGCACAGUCUAUGAUGAAGUCACCCCAGAGAAGUCCUUUUUCCGUUUUCUCCUGAGAAAUUACCAGAAGAAAUUAAAAUCCUUUUGAGUAUUGCA